rnacentral:lncRNA from 1 species
GCUGGGGCCGCCUCCGGAGGCUGGACCCGGGACCGCUCUGCUAUGCUCCCUGUCCCCGCGCUGGAGCACAGCGACCCAACUCCUUGCGAGCGUUUCCUGCGCACCUACUACGUGCAAGGCGCUGGCAGUCCAGGAGGAAUAGGCCUUCGUCCCUGUCCCCGGAAAUGGGCCUGGAACGAGAAGGCUGGAGCUGAAGAUGGAUUGGCUAGAAGGCAACAGCCGACGUACAGGGCAAACGCGUUAGAGGCCAGGUGCUAAGGAGGUUGUUAAAUCUGCCCGCGGGUACGAAGGAAGGCUUCUAAGGGAGGUCGCCACGGGUGACCUUUCAGCUGUAUCAGAAGGAGCUGAUAUAACCGGAGGAGAGUCCAGUCCUUCAGAUUUGCAACUUGAAGAACUUGAUUGCUGGUUCUCCAGGGAUGACUGGUCUCUGGCAACCAGCACGCACCACCCAAACCCAAGAGUCUGCACCUUCAACCAGAUGCCAGUCCAUGAAGAACACCAGACAAGCUGUGCUGAGUUGGACUAAAGAUUCACCCAGUCUGAUCCAUCUGCUUGGUGUUUUCUACUCUGGAGAGCUUAAGGACAUCUCAGCCCAGUGACUUUUCUUCUAUGAGCCUGCUUUCAGACAGUCCGUAAAAGUUUUAAAGAAGACAAGUCCCCCAGAGGUAAUCCUUGAGGGCUCCACUCUGAAACAGGAAGACUCCAUCUGGUAUCCUGGCACCAACAGUAGUCAGUAGACUGGGUACUGGCCCCAGUUCUGACACAGUAGUUGUUAGAUUCCAGGCAAGUCAUUUAAUUUCCAUUCCUAAAAUGGUAAAAAUACCACCUGCCUCACCUCCCUUGCAGGGUUAUUCCAAGAAUUACAUGAGAUGAUGUGUGUGAAAGCACUCUGAAAAGGCUAAGCGACUGUAUAAAUAAAGGGUGUUAUUAAUAUUUCCAUCCAAAGCUCACCUGUUUAAACCAUGGUUUCCUGAAGUUAAGCCAGCUCUCUUCUUUCAUUCAAUUCAUUCCUUUGAUGUUCUUUAAGUGCCUACUUUAUCCAAGAUAGAACUUUCUCGAUAAUUUAUUUGGGUAGAGCUUUUUUUUUCAAUGUUUAAUGUGUACAUUGGUAGGAACUUUUUAAAAAGUGUAG